UAAGCAAGAAGAGACACCUAGCAUGAACAUAAAUGUCAUUGUCUAGAUAGUCUUUUGGAGAGCCCUCAUUUAGAUUACAAAAAAGACACGCAUACAGCGACGCGUAAACAUAAUGUUUGCAUAAUGUAGAUUCGUCAGAUUGAGAUAUAAGUUUUUCAGCGAAACUAAGACCUAAUGAUGAUAUUUCUUUAGCAGUGGAGCUUAACGUUAUAACUUUCUCGUUGACUGUUUGCUUUUCUAAACGUCGACAUAUGAGAUUUUGCCAAUUAUUGAUAAAACUCAAAGUUACCAAAACUGGAGAGCCUGAUAGCUUUUGUAAGUCUACAUAUCCCUCGAGUUGAAUUGAAUCUAUAAUGGCUUCCCGCACAGUUUCCGAGAUAAACUUGGCUGGUUGAGCAACACGACUCAAGCAUGUUGUUAUUACAAAAUCCAAUGUAGACCAUGAUGAUGCAACAAAAGAGAAUAGAUACUCCAUAUGAAACAAAGUCAAAAUAAUAUACUCACAUAAAGAUCGGUCUGCAGCCAAUACAUUGCUUUUACGGUACUGAGAUUUUGCCAAUGAUUCUAAAACCAUAAUUAUUGAGAAAAAAUUUUUUUUAACAAACUGAUGGUCAUUAUAUUUAG